CACGACACAGCAAGAUGUUCUCCUCAAUUAGUUGAUCACACGGAUGGAACAAACCGGGGGAAACGGAAGAGGAUUGUGGGGCGGGGCUGACCUCAAUAAACGAGCGAACAAACCCUAAAGGGCAAAAGACAACAGGCCCGUCUCACUAGAAGGAGGCCCAGGGACAAGCUGGAGAGGCUAUGUCUCUAGACUGGCCUUGGAACACUUCAGACUUCCCCCAGAGGAGCUGGAGGAGGUGUCUGGGGAGAGGGAAGUCUGGGCAUCUCUGCUGAGACUGGUGAAAUAGAGAGACUGACAGCAUUAACAUCAGCUGGUUUGGUAAACGACUCUUCCAGAGCUACCAGUGGAGUGAUCUUCUGGCUCUGUUAACUUCCUGCUUACAUCUGCCACUCCAAUCCUACCUGGAAUGUUUACUGUCAUCCACAGGAGCUCACCACUGGUCUUCUGUCUACAACCACCUGCACUGACCUGACACUCUGCCAAUGCCUACAACCAGCAUUGGGGGCAAAUACAACCUGCUUGUAAAAAACAGGGACAUAUUAUUCACCUCCUCCACCACUUCAGGAUCCUCAGUCAAACCCUCUGACCCGAUAUCUUAUCUGAAUAUAAGUAACCACAAUCCAUUAAAAGCAUAUCACCAGAUAUUGAAUCGUGCCCUCUUGUUCUCUCUUGUCUUUUAAGGUAAGGUAAGGUAAGUUUAUUUAUAUAGCGCUUUUCAGCAACGAGAUACUCAAAGCGCUGUAGAUACAAUUACAAUACAAUCACAAAGCAAAUAAACACAG